GCGGCAAACGGGUGAGUAACACGUGAGCAACCUACCCUUAAGACAGACAUAGCUUCGUGAAAACGGGGUUAAUAUCUGAUGACAUCAUCGGGGUGCAUAUUCUGAUGAUCAAAGGCAGGGAUUCCGGCGCAAGUCGGAACCAGCCACUUAGGGAUGGGCUCGCGUCCUAUCAGCUAGUUGGCGGGGUAAUGGCCCACCAAGGCGUAUGACGGGUAGCUGGUCUGAGAGGAUGGUCAGCCACACUGGGACUGAGACACUGCCCAGACUCCUACGGGAGGCUGCAGUCGAGAGUAUUUAGCAAUGGGCGAAAGCCUGACUAUGCGACGCCGCGUGAAGGAUGAAGGUUUUCGGAUUGUAAACUUCUUUUGUCAGGGAAGAAACCCCUGUCGUUAAUAGCGGCAGGAUUGACGGUACCUGACGAAUAAGCCACGGCUAACUCCGUGCCAGCAGCCGCGGUAAUACGGAGGUGGCAAGCGUUACUCGGAAUUAUUGGGUGUAAAGGGCAAGUAGGCGGUUUAAUAAGUGAGGGGUGAAAUCUUUCGACUCAAUCGGGAGACUGCCUUUCAAACUGUUAGACUUGAAGCAGGAAGGGGGAAAUGGAAUUCACGGUGUAAGGGUGAAAUCUGUAGAUAUCGUGAAGAACACCGGCGGCGAAGGCGAUUUCCUGGUCCUGUCUUGACGCUGAAUUGCGAAAGCUAGGGGAGCAAACAGAAUUAGAUACUCUGGUAGUCCUAGCCGUAAACGAUGAGCACUAGGUGUUGGGCCGCAAGGCUCAGUGCCGCAGCUAACGCAUUAAGUGCUCCACCUGGGGACUACGGUCGCAAGGCUAAAACUCAAAGGAAUUGACGGGGACCCGCACAAGCGGUGGAACAUGUGGUUCAAUUCGAAGCUACGCGAAAAACCUCACCAGGGCUUGACAUAUAGGAAGUAGUGAACCGAAAGGGGAACGAGCCGUCAAGUCCGGCAAUCUAUACAGGUGCUGCAUGGCUGUCGUCAGCUCGUGUCGUGAGAUGUUGGGUUAAGUCCCGCAACGAGCGCAACCAUCAUCCUAUGUUGCUAAGGUAUUUGGCCGAAAGGUUGAAUGCCAGCACUCUUAGGAGACUGCCCGUGAUAAACGGGAGGAAGGCGGAGAUGACGUCAAGUCAGUACGGCCCUUAUGCCCUGGGCUACACACGUGUUACAAUGGCUGUUACAAAGAGCUGCAAACCCGCGAGGGGGAGCCAAUCUCUAAAAAGCAGCCCCAGUUCAGAUUGAAGUCUGCAAUUCGACUUCAUGAAGCCGGAAUCGCUAGUAAUGGAAGAUCAGCACGCUUCCGUGAAUACGUUCCCGGGUCUUGUACACACCGCCCGUCAAGCGAUGGGAAUCAGGGGUACCCUAAGUCCUACGUAGGUAGGCCCAAGGUAAAACUGGUGACUGGCGCUAAGUCGUAACAAGGUA
rnacentral:rRNA from 1 species